rnacentral:rRNA from 1 species
CCUACGGGCGGCUGCAGUGGGGAAUUUUGGACAAUGGGCGCAAGCCUGAUCCAGCCAUUCCGCGUGAGUGAAGAAGGCCUUCGGGUUGUAAAGCUCUUUCGCAGGGGAAGAAAACUUAUCCUCUAACAUAGGAUGAGGUUGACGGUACCUUGAUAAGAAGCACCGGCUAACUCCGUGCCAGCAGCCGCGGUAAUACGUAGCGUGCGAGCGUUGAUCGGAAUUACUGGGGGUAAAGCGUGCGGUGGCAGUUGAAAUCCCCGAGCUCAACUUGGGAACUGCGGUUGAAACUACAAGACGAGAGUAGGUCAGAGGGGGGUAGAAUUCCACGUGUAGCAGUGAAAUGCGUAGAGAUGUGGAGGAAUAUCAAUGGCGAAGGCAGCCCCCUGGGAUCAUAUUGACGCUCAUGCACGAAAGCGUGGGGAGCAAACAGGAUUAGAUACCCCGGUAGUC